rnacentral:rRNA from 1 species
GACGAACGCUGGCGGCGUGCUUAACACAUGCAAGUCGAGCGGAGCGGCGAACGGGUGAGUAACGCGUGAGUAACUGCCCCCCUCUCUGGGAUAACAGUUGGAAACGGCUGCUAAUACCGGAUAGUGGGGGAUGACUCGCGUCCUAUCAGCUUGUUGGUGGGGUAGUGGCCUACCAAGGCCUCGACGGGUAGCCGGCCUGAGAGGGCGACCGGCCACGUUGGGCUGAGAUACGGUCCAAACUCCUACGGGAGGCAGUAGUGGGGAAUAUUGCAGAAUGGGGGAAACUCUGAUGCAGCAACGCCGCGUGAGGGAUGACGGCUUUCGGGUUGUAAACGGCUGUCAGUCAUGACGCGGUAGUGGCAGAAGAAGCACCGGCUAACUACGUGCCAGCAGCCGCGGUAAUUC